rnacentral:rRNA from 1 species
CCUACGGGGGGCAGCAGUGAGGAAUAUUGGUCAAUGGGCGGGAGCCUGAACCAGCCAAGCCGCGUGAGGGAAGAAGGUCCUGUGGAUUGUAAACCUCUUUUGUCGGGGAGCAAAGGCGGCGACUAGUGCCGUUCUGAGGGUACCUGAAGAAAAAGCAUCGGCUAACUCCGUGCCAGUAGCCGCGGUAAUACGGAGGAUGCGAGCGUUAUCCGGAUUUAUUGGGUUUAAAGGGUGCGCAGGCGGAAGGUUAAGUCAGCGGUAAAAUGGCGGGGCUCAACCCCGGCGAGCCGUUGAAACUGGUUGUCUUGAGUGAGUGAGAAGUACGCGGAAUGCGCGGUGUAGCGGUGAAAUGCAUAGAUAUCACGCAGAACCCCGAUUGCGAAGGCAGCAUACCGGCGCCCAACUGACGCUGAGGCACGAAAGUGUGGGUAUCGAACAGGAUUAGAUACCCUUGUAGUC